GCCGGAGACAGCCCGCCGCUUCCAACGAGCGCCUUGCAUCUCCUUCGGAAACACAGCAACCUGCCCUCCCGCACCCAGUUCAAGGCCUCCACUUCGACCGAGGCGAAAAACAGCGUGCGAUUUGGAAUUACAGAAGCCCUAUGUCCCUUCCAAAGUGUCCAUAAAUCAUGGCUACAUUCAGCAAGUUCACAAAGCAAAGACAUCUGCAUCCCUGCUUGGCUGCUAUCGUGCCCAAAAUGCUGACAGAGCCAUGGCAGCAGUGACCACACACAGACUCCAAAAUCUAUUAAGGUACAGGUCAAACUGACCAGACUUUAAGCCAUAAACAUCUGCAGCUUCCUCUGUGGUUUAGUCAAGUACAGUUGCCUGUACCCAUGGAAAGUACCACGUUUUUAUAACUGGCAGGAAUCUACCUCACUCACCCACUUCACCCAGAGCCACUGUGAUGAGUGAAAUAUGCUGGAGAGCAUUUUAAGAGUUUUCAAUAAAAUCCAUAAUCUUCUGCAUCUGGA